rnacentral:tRNA from 1 species
UCGGCCAUUGCCGCGGAGGUCGCGGCCGCGUUGCGAUCGCGGAAGUGUUCGGCAAGCACGGCCAGCGAUCGUACCGCGUCGUAGCCGCCCC